rnacentral:rRNA from 1 species
CGCGCAGGCGGGUUUGCAAGUCAGAGGUGAAAUCCUACAGCUUAACUGUAGAACUGCCUUUGAUACUGCUAAUCUUGAGUAUGGAAGAGAGAGACGGAAUUCCAGGUGUAGUGGUGAAAUACGUAGAUAUCUGGAAGAACACCAGUUGCGAAGGCGGUCUCUUGGUCCAAUACUGACGCUGAGGCGCGAAAGCGUGGGGAGCAAACAGGAUUAGAUACCCUGGUAGUCC